rnacentral:rRNA from 1 species
UGUUUGAUGUUCUAACGUGGACCCGUGAUCCGGGUUGCGGACAGUGUCUGGUGGGUAGUUUGACUGGGGCGGUCUCCUCCUAAAGAGUAACGGAGGAGCACGAAGGUUGGCUAAUCCUGGUCGGACAUCAGGAGGUUAGUGCAAUGGCAUAAGCCAGCUUGACUGCGAGCGUGACGGCGCGAGCAGGUGCGAAAGCAGGUCAUAGUGAUCCGGUGGUUCUGAAUGGAAGGGCCAUCGCUCAACGGAUAAAAGGUACUCCGGGGAUAACAGGCUGAUACCGCCCAAGAGUUCAUAUCGACGGCGGUGUUUGGCACCUCGAUGUCGGCUCAUCACAUCCUGGGGCUGAAGUAGGUCCCAAGGGUAUGGCUGUUCGCCAUUUAAAGUGGUACGCGAGCUGGGUUUAGAACGUCGUGAGACAGUUCGGUCCCUAUCUGCCGUGGGCGCUGGAGAACUGAGGGGGGCUGCUCCUAGUACGAGAGGACCGGAGUGGACGCAUCACUGGUGUUCGGGUUGUCAUGCCAAUGGCACUGCCCGGUAGCUAAAUGCGGAAGAGAUAAGUGCUGAAAGCAUCUAAGCACGAAACUUGCCCCGAGAUGAGUUCUCCCUGAGACUUAAAGUCUCCUGAAGGAACGUUGAAGACGACGACGUUGAUAGGCCGGGUGUGUAAGCGCAGCGAUGCGUUGAGCUAACCGGUACUAAUGAACCGUGAGGCUUAACCUUACAACGCCGAAG